GAUGAACGCUGGCGGCGUGCCUAAUACAUGCAAGUCGAGCGAACGGACGAGAAGCUUGCUUCUCUGAUGUUAGCGGCGGACGGGUGAGUAACACGUGGAUAACCUACCUAUAAGACUGGGAUAACUUCGGGAAACCGGAGCUAAUACCGUAUAAUAUUUUGAACCGCAUGGUUCAAAAGUGAAAGACGGUCUUGCUGUCACUUAUAGAUGGAUCCGCGCUGCAUUAGCUAGUUGGUAAGGUAACGGCUUACCAAGGCAACGAUGCAUAGCCGACCUGAGAGGGUGAUCGGCCACACUGGAACUGAGACACGAUCCAGACUCCUACGGGAGGCAGCAGUAGGGAAUCUUCCGCAAUGGGCGAAAGCCUGACGGAGCAACGCCGCGUGAGUGAUGAAGGUCUUCGGAUCGUAAAACUCUGUUAUUAGGGAAGAACAUAUGUGUAAGUAACUGUGCACAUCUUGACGGUACCUGAUCAGAAAGCCACGGCUAACUACGUG
rnacentral:rRNA from 1 species